AUGUCUCUUAUUAUGUUGAUCUCGUGGGAAAUUUGGAACGAGAGGAAUGCACGCGUCUUCCGUAACACCGCAGUGUCGGUUGGGGUUCUGGUUGCAAGAAUCAAAGAUGUUUCAAAGUGUUGGUGCCUUGCAGGGGCCAAAUAUUUGAGUACUAUAGUGCUGCGAGAGUGA
rnacentral:rRNA from 1 species